rnacentral:rRNA from 1 species
UACGUAGGGUGCGAGCGUUGUCCGGAAUUAUUGGGCGUAAAGGGCUCGGUAGGCGGUCUGUCGCGUCGGGAGUGAAAACUCAGGGCUUAACCCUGAGCCUGCUUCCGAUACGGGCAGACUAGAGGUAUGCAGGGGGAGAACGGAAUUCCUGGUGUAGCGGUGAAAUGCGCAGAUAUCAGGAGGAACACCGGUGGCGAAGGCGGUUCUCUGGGCAUUACCUGACGCUGAGGAGCGAAAGCAUGGGGGAGCGAACAGG